AUUGAACGCUGGCGGCAGGCCUAACACAUGCAAGUCGAACGAGUGGCGGACGGGUGAGUAAUGUCUGGGAAACUGCCUGAUGGAGGGGGAUAACUAAUGGAAACGGUAGCUAAUACCGCAUACCAUCAGAUGUGCCCAGAUGGGAUUAGCUAGUUGGUGGGGGAACGGCUCACCAAGGCGACGCUCCCUAGCUGGUCUGAGAGUAUGACCAGCCACACUGGAACGGAGACACGGUCCAGACUCAUACGGGAGGCAGCAGUGGGGAAUAUUGCACAAUGGGCGAAAGCCUGAUGCAGCAAUGCCGCGUGUAUGAAGAAGGCCGUCGGGUUGUAAAGUACUUUCGGCGGGGAGGCGUUACCCGCAGAAGAAGCACCGGCUAACUCCGUGCCAGCCGCCGCGGUAAUAC
rnacentral:rRNA from 1 species